UAGGAUCGAAUGAAUCCUAAAGCCCUGAUGCCAUGAAAAAACUCAGAGGAAAAAAUUCUGUUUCUUUUUCUACUGCUUUAGUUUACAGAUUAUAAAGAGAGGAAUAAUCAUUUUAAAGGAAACAAAUCCUAAUUUCCUAAGAAUCAGUAACUGAGAUUAGUUUCUAUUUACAAGGGAGGUAAGAUUUUCCAACAGAUUUCUAUCCUUAAUUAUAGGGAUUCCAACACAUGGUAUGAUUCUAAGCUUUCGCUACUCUAUGUUUGAGGGCCUAAAACCAUAUAACGACUUAUCAAAAAACCCAUCUCAUACAUACCAAAUGCAGUCCCUAGAGUUAGAUGCCUUCGUAAGUCUAGAUUUAUUCAAGUUUCUGCCAUGUUACUGCUUGAUACAAUGAUUUCCUUGAAGAAAAUCGUAGUAUCUAGUAAUCCUCCAGCCUACUUUCUUAGUUCAUCAAGUUCUUUUGCUCUUAUUUUUCCGAGCUCAGUGGUAAUGAAUGUUGAUCAUGCAGGUUAUUAGGCUAAUGUCAAGAGGCGUCGAUAAUUGUGGUUAUUGAGUUUUGCAGGUCAUAUCUCCGUCAAUGCGGAAGGACAAAGAAAAAAGUUUGGAAAUGAUGCUGUCUGUCCUUCGUGUUGAUCUUACUUAUUCUUCAAUGCGGAAGAACAAAGAAAAAAGUUUGGAAAUGCGGGUAAUAGUGGGUCAUCCAAGAUAUAUACUUACAGGAGAAAUUCAUUGAACACAAGGAAAUUGCCCAACACCCUUAUAGAUGUCAAUGUGUUGUAAGUUUUCACUUGUGAAAACAAUUACAUGUUCAUUCAACAGUUGAUUGAAUACUCUGUAUAAAAACGAAAAGUAAAUUAUAUAAUUUGCAGAAUUUAUGUUGCACAACUGGCAACACAA